UGAUUUCCUAUCAUAAACCCCUUCCUGCUGUGAAGGGGAGAAGACCCAUUCAUAUGCCGCUUGCAGACAGACCGAUGGUGAAACUACUUUGGGUUGACUUUGUGCCCCAACCUAAGCAAAGGCAGGGUGGCAGAGUGACAAGGUAACCUCCAGACAGAGCAACGCCGAUCCAGCCCUGCGCUGGGUCUCCACCUAAGAAAGGAGAAGGAUUCAUGUGAUGUAACCAUGCCUCCUGCACCUCGCCAGCCCUGCCCUGCGGCACGGAGCCGUGCUUGGGAUGCUUCUGGGCUGGGAGAAGAGCUGGGGGCAGCGAAGUUCCGGGGCAGCAGCUCUGGGGCUGGAAAAUGGGAGAGCCUGGAGGAUUUGGGAGGACAUCUCACUGUCAUUUUUCUGUGUUGCUGGGAUCUAAGACCACACUCAUCAGCAAGCAAAAGGCUGAUUCUGAGACCUCUGCUUCAGUUACUUGGAUCCAUGGCCACAAUUAGAGAACUAGCUGGAUUUUUCAGAGGUUUAAAAUAAUAAAGCACUUCUCAAUUUUCAGCUGACCCCUGGGAGGUUCACUUUUUCUCCUUGAAAGUAGCACAAACCCAACACUUACAUCUUGGUCUUUUAACAACAUGCUAGCUGUUUCUCAUCCUCAGCUCUUG